UACGAGGGAUGCAAGCGUUAUCCGGAAUUAUUGGGCGUAAAGCGUUUGUAGGCGGGCGAGUGUGUUUAAUGUUAAAUCUUAAAGCUCAACUUUGAAAUUGCGUUAAAAACUGCUUGUCUUGAGUAUGGUAGGGGCAAAGGGAAUUCCCAGUGUAGCGGUGAAAUGCGUAGAUAUUGGGAAGAACACUAAACAGCGAAGGCACUUUACUAGGCUAAUACUGACGCUGAGAAACGAAAGGUAAGGUAGCGAAACGGAUUAGAUACCCGUGUAGUCUUACCCGUAAACUAUGGACACUAAACGGUAAAUUUUUAAUUUACUGUUAAAGCUAACGCGUUAAGUGUCCCGCCUGGGGAGUAUGCUUGCAAAAGUGAAACUCAAAGGAAUUGACGGGGGCCCGCACAAGCGGUGGAGCAUGUGGUUUAAUUCGACGGUACACGAAGAACCUUACCAGGAUUUGACAUGCUAGAUAGUUGCUUGAAAGAGUAACGUGCCGUAAGGAAUCUAGACACAGGUGGUGCAUGGCUGUCGUCAGUUCGUGUUGUGAAAUGUUGGGUUAAGUCCCGCAACGAACGCAACCCUUGUCUUUAGUUAUUUUCUAAAGAGACUGCCUGUAAUAAACAGGAGGAAGGUAAGGAUGAGGUCAAGUCAUCAUGCCCCUUAUGUCCUGGGCUACACACGUGCUACAAUGGGAAAGACAAUGAGCUGCAAAUCUGUAAAUUUAAGCAAAUCUCUUAAACUUUCUCGUAGUUCGGAUUGUGGGCUGCAACUCGCCCACAUGAAGUUGGAAUCGCUAGUAAUCGCCAGUCAGCUAUAUGGCGGUGAAUACGUUCCCGGGCCU
rnacentral:rRNA from 1 species